UAUAUUUGAUUUUUUUUAAUUGAAAUAAAGUAACAGUAAAACUUCCUGGGGCAGAGGAAGUAAAAACAAUAAAAAAUCUUUCCUUUGAGCCCAUUUAACGUAGUUUUUAAUACUGAGCUAUGCCUUUCUGCACUACCCAGAGAGGGGUCCACACAGCAUUGUUCUGGAUUCCUGUCAUAACUUAAAGGGAAACUUUCACAAUGUCCAGAGCCCUUGAAGUCCUGCCAAUGAAAGAGGAGAAUGUCCUUAAAUUACUUGCAGCAGAAACCCACUUAGGUAGCACCAACCUUGACUUCCAAAUGGAACAGUACAUCUACAAAAGGAAAAGUGAUGGCAUCUACAUCAUAAAUCUGAAGAGGACCUGGGAGAAGCUUUUGCUGGCAACUUGUGCCAUUGUUGCCAUUGAAAACCCUGCUGCUGUCAGUGUCUAUCCUCCAGGAAUACUGGCCAGCAAGCUGUGCUAAAGUUCGUGGCAGCCACUGGAGCCACUCCUGCUGUUGGUGGCUUCACUCCCAGAACCUUCACUAACCAGAUCCAGGCAGCCUUCUGGGAGCCACAUCUUUUGGUGGUUACUGAUUCUAGGGCUGACCACCAGACUCUCAUAGAAGCGUCUGACGUUAUCCUGCCUACCAUUGCUCUGUGUAACACAGAUUCUCCUCUGCAUUCUGUGGACAUUGCCAUUCCAUGCAACAACAACAGAGCUCACUCAGUAGGUCUGAUGUAGUGGAUGCUGACCUGGGAAGUUCUGUGUAUGUGUGGCACCAUCUCCCAUGAACAUCCAUCCAUGGGAGGUCAUGCUUGAUCUCUGCUUCUGCAGAGAUCCUACAGAGUUCCUGAAGAGAUUGAAAAGGAAGAGUAGGCUGCUGCUGAAGAGGCUAUGACCAAGGAGGAAUUUCAGGGUGAAUGGACUGCUCCAGCUCCUGAGUUCAUUGCUACUCAGCAUGAGGUUGCAGACUGGUCUGAAGGCGUGCAGGUGCCCUCUGUGCCUAUUCAGCAGUUCCCCACUGAAGACUGGAGCACUCAGCCUGCCACAGAAGACUGGUGUGCAGCUCCCACUGCUCAGUCACUGAAUGGGUAGGAACAACCACUAAGUGGCCUUAAGCUGUUCUUUCAUAGGCUCUUAAGCAAGAUGGAAGUAAGGUUGACCGAAAAUAAACAUCAGUUUCU